rnacentral:misc_RNA from 1 species
GAUGAAGAACGUAGCAAAAUGCGAUAAGUAAUGUGAAUUGCAGAAUUCAGUGAAUCAUCGAAUCUUUGAACGCACAUUGCGCCCGCCAGUAUUCUGGCGGGCAUGCCUGUUCGAGCGUCAUUUCAACCCUCAAGCUCAGCUUGGUGUUGGGACUCGCGGUAACCCGCGUUCCCCAAAUCGAUUGACGGUCACGUCGAGCUUCCAUAGCGUAGUAAUCAUACACCUCGUUACUGGUAAUCGUCGCGGCCACGCCGUAAAACCCCAACUUCUGAAUGUUGACCUCGGAUCAGGUAGGAAUACCCGCUGAACUUAAGCAUAUCAAUAAGCGGAGGA